rnacentral:rRNA from 1 species
ACGUACACUCCUACGGGAGGCAGCAGUGGGGAAUAUUGCACAAUGGGCGCAAGCCUGAUGCAGCCAUGCCGCGUGUGUGAAGAAGGCCUUCGGGUUGUAAAGCACUUUCAGCGGGGAGGAAGGCAAUGCGGUUAAUAACCGUGUUGAUUGACGUUACCCGCAGAAGAAGCACCGGCUAACUCCGUGCCAGCAGCCGCGGUAAUACGGAGGGUGCAAGCGUUAAUCGGAAUUACUGGGCGUAAAGCGCACGCAGGCGGUCUGUCAAGUCGGAUGUGAAAUCCCCGGGCUCAACCUGGGAACUGCAUUCGAAACUGGCAGGCUUGAGUCUUGUAGAGGGGGGUAGAAUUCCAGGUGUAGCGGUGAAAUGCGUAGAGAUCUGGAGGAAUACCGGUGGCGAAGGCGGCCCCCUGGACAAAGACUGACGCUCAGGUGCGAAAGCGUGGGGAGCAAACAGGAUUAGAAACCCGGGUAGUCCCAUG